GUCCUGCUCCUGGGAGCAGUAGUGUGUGCUGAAGGCUGAGUGUUCUUCCAAAGCGUCCAGCCAACCCUACAAGUCAACAACGGGGAAUCUGAGCGUGAUUGAGGGACUUGCAUCCUUGCCUCCUGACGUUGGCGACCGCAUCAGACCUUGAGCAGCAGGAGGCGAGCAAGGUCGGAGACGCCACCUACUGUGUGGAGUACCAGGACAGAACGCCGUUGUGGAGGACUACCCAAUAGGAGCGCCAGCCCAAAAAUCUGGAGCUCUGCGGGAACAACACACGAGGGAGGAAUCAGUACCAUCGCUCCAUUUUGACAGCGGUAACUCAUUUGCAUAUUCCGAACCCGCACUGGGAAAUUUUCCCUUGGCUCUUUGAACAAUAACCCCAGCAUUUAUUCGUAUAUUUGUCAAGUAUUGACUUUCAUUUCCAUUUCUUAUUUGCUUUUAUUCAAAACAAUACAACAACCCAUCUAGUUAGCUUAGCGACAAGCCGGCUAACUCAACAACUUAUCGGGACCUGUUUUGCGCAGAUGCUUGCGUAAUCUCGUCACACUUCAUUGACUCCGUCACCGUCUCGGUGUUUACGGAAUCGUUACGCUAAUCAAUAGCCGCUUCACAGGCUGCUAAGUGAGGUUGCGGGCGGACACCCGAGAGGAGAGUAAGCAAAGAGGUUCGGUCACGAGUACAUUUUCAUUAGGGGGACAUUUGCAUUGAACCCACUGAAAUGGAGCAAUCAAUGUUGUAUUGAAGCACUUUGAGAGUGCGCUUCGUCAAGUGUUGCUCGAGGCAAACAGUAUGAGCCCCUUGCUUGCUGAUAUGUAUGCGGUGAAUUAACCCUCGUUGAACAGAGUUCCAAUUUGAAAGGAUAUUUUGAAGCGUUGGCGCUAGCUUGCAAAUCAUAGUGCGUCGUGGAAUUCACCUUCCAGAGGAGUCCCUCAAAUGUUUUGGCGUGACGUCGCAUCCCCUGCAAAGACGAGAAACGUCAUUAAGGAAACCAAACCGCAAGCAGAGGAAUUAUUGACCUGUAGUAUCAAAACUCACCCGCCGUGCGUUGCCUUCGAGUAAUUGUCGCAUGGCCGCGUCGCUGGCUAAUUCCGACACGGUCUGCCCUGAGAGAAAAACAACACGAAAGCCAACUUUAAAAACUUGAAAUGUGUAAUUUACUUUGAAAUCUUCAACUGCUCCCACACAAUCUGAGAUGAGAGAAACGCGUCAUCAACAUAAACAGAAAGACAAAAAAAACCUCAACUGCAUCGAGGCUAAUUAACACUGUUAGGCCUCUCGUGUAAUCAUGGCUUCUUGAGUCACGGCGCUAAUCAUUGAGUACCAAGCAUUUAA